UACAGAGGUCCCGAGCGUUGUUCGGAUUCACUGGGCGUAAAGGGUGCGUAGGUGGUGAGGUAAGUCGGAUGUGAAAUCUCCAAGCUCAACUUGGAAAUGGCAUUGGAAACUACCUUGCUGGAGGUUUGGAGGGGGGACUGGAAUUCUCGGUGUAGCAGUGAAAUGCGUAGAUAUCGAGAGGAACACCAGUGGCGAAGGCGGGUCUCUGGACCGAGACUGACGCUGAGGCGCGAAAGCGUGGGGAGCAAACAGG
rnacentral:rRNA from 1 species